UUUGGUGAGAAUUUUUAGGAUUUUGUUAUUAUCUAUAAAUAAAAUCUAAAUUAUUUAAAAAUGAUCUCACAGCAAAAUGCAAAAAUUAUGACUGCCAGGUCUCUCUGUAGCCUGUAGUUCAGAGGACCCUCAUUACAGAACCGCAGUGAUGGGCCUUUUACUCUCACGAUGUGUGCCCCAGCAGAGCACCAGUGUCGGGCUAGCAAACGUGUCAACCCUCCUGAUAACUGCACCCUACUAGCCACCCAAACCGCAGCAGCCCCUAGCCUAUCAAUCACCACGGGCCAGCACAGAGAAGCUGCCUCCCCUGCCACUGGAUGAUGGAGGAGGGGGGAACUGGAGCUCCAUGCAUAUCAGCCGCUGCAUUUGUAGCCCUCCAGGAGAAGAGCAGGUGAAGGGCUGAGAGAAAGAUGUUAAGCUCGCAGCAAGACAGACGAAAGGAGGAUUACACUUUAUUGAGGGAAAGCUGGGAAAAUUACUCAGCGGAAAGAAAACUAGCUGGCAUGCCAUCAAAAACUCAUCCAGAAGAAUUACCAUAUGACUCUUUACCACUGACUGCCAAGAGAGGAAAAAAGGCUUGACUGUAAAACCGUAGGAGUGUUUUGCGUGUCUAAAGGCACAUGCUACAACUGCGCAGCUACAUCAAACACUUGAAUAAGCAUGCAUUAGUAUGCUUGUUUUAAUCUUGGAUUGCUCUGUGCUAUUUCCAGCACCUAUUGUGAAAAUGUCAAGUGGUGAAAUUGAACCGGGUUGCAGAUAUCUGUGGCUGUCACAAAUCUGUCUAAACAGGUUCUGACUGUUAAAAGAGAUUCCAGUGAGAGCCGUUUACCAUAUUGCCUAUUGACUGCUCAAAUUACAACUGUCAGUUUAACUAAAAUAUUAUUUGAAUUAUUUGGAUGACUUUGAAAGUGCAUGUCAGGGUUGACAUCGCUCUUAAUAUCAAAUAAUAUCUUUUUCAGCUUUUAUAACAGGAACGGUGCUAAAAGGAAGUGACAAUUGUUGAGGUACCUGUAAAUGUCAAGUGGUGAAAUUGAACCGGGUUGCAGAUAUCUGUGGCUGUCACAAAUCUGUCUAAACAGGUUCUGACUGUUAAAAGAGAUUCCAGUGAGAGCCGUUUACCAUAUUGCCUAUUGACUGCUCAAAUUACAACUGUCAGUUUAACUAAAAUAUUAUUUGAAUUAUUUGGAUGACUUUGAAAGUGCAUGUCAGGGUUGACAUCGCUCUUAAUAUCAAAUAAUAUUCUUUUCAGUCUUUUAUAACAGGAACGGUGACUAAAAGGAGUGACAAUUGUU
rnacentral:lncRNA from 1 species